ACUUCAAGCAACUAAGUCCCUUUGCUCAAGCGAGCAAAUGAGACUUUUCAUUCCACUGAAGUUUAAGCUGAAAAUAUUAUUGGCAUUCUCAGCAGUUGGCUGAGCUGACGUGAUGGAAGACAACACCGCAAAUGCUCAGAGGACCAAGAACUCGGCAAGGAAAGCUUCACCAUCCAGGUUAUUUAUUUAUUUUAAAGAAAGGGAUAGCUAUCUGUCUGCCUGGACUUAAAACCUCAUAUAGGGUUUACUGAAAGGAAAUCUAUGUGGGAUGGGCUGCAUUGAUGGGGAUAAGGCCUUAGAGCAUAAGAAGCCUAAGUGGCCAAGAGCCCAGAGCCACAUAGCGGAAGGAAGUUGGGGGAUAUAUAUAAGAGCAUCAGGGGAGGGAAGCAUAGUUGAGAAAAGCAUAGUGGGAGGCAAGGGGUCAUAGGGCUGCCAGGUGUAGGUCCUGGGUGGACUCUGGUGCUUUAGGAAUUGAAUAAAAGGGGGGAUUCUACCACUAUUGUUGCUUCCACAUCCUUGCAACGUUUGGUUUGGUAACAGUAAGGCGGUAGCAAUGGCAAAGCCACAAUAGACUGAGAUACUGAAUUUCACAGUUUUCACAUCACAUUGGGAAAUAAUAUUUGCCGUCUUUGAGGGACAAGAGCACAUCACAUCUGCUAAGAUUUUUUAUUUUAAUGCAGAGGGAUGUCUGGAUCGCAGGAAACCCGACUGACUUCUAUUUUACUAUGAUAUUGAUUAUAAAUCGUUUUCUUGCCUGCUGAAGAGAUUGUGUCUCUUCCCACAGGAGCAGCUUGCAGCAAGAAAUACAGGAAGAAAGUGGAUGAUGCGCUGUGUCUUUAACACUUGUAUGGU